AGGGAAUCUUCCACAAUGGACGCAAGUCUGAUGGAGCAACGCCGCGUGAGUGAAGAAGGUUUUCGGAUCGUAAAGCUCUGUUGUUGGUGAAGAAGGAUAGAGGCAGUAACUGGUCUUUAUUUGACGGUAAUCAACCAGAAAGUCACGGCUAACUACGUGCCAGCAGCCGCGGUAAUACGUAGGUGGCAAGCGUUGUCCGGAUUUAUUGGGCGUAAAGCGAGCGCAGGCGGAAUGAUAAGUCUGAUGUGAAAGCCCACGGCUCAACCGUGGAACUGCAUCGGAAACUGUCAUUCUUGAGUGCAGAAGAGGAGAGUGGAACUCCAUGUGUAGCGGUGGAAUGCGUAGAUAUAUGGAAGAACACCAGUGGCGAAGGCGGCUCUCUGGUCUGCAACUGACGCUGAGGCUCGAAAGCAUGGGUAGCGAACAGGAUUAGAUACCCUGGUAGUCCAUGCCGUAAACGAUGAGCGCUA
rnacentral:rRNA from 1 species